UACGAAGGGGGCUAGCGUUGUUCGGAAUUACUGGGCGUAAAGCGCACGUAGGCGGCUUUUUGAGUCAGGGGUGAAAUCCUGGAGCUCAACUCCAGAACUGCCUUUGAUACUGAAGAUCUUGAGUUCGGGAGAGGUGAGUGGAACUGCGAGUGUAGAGGUGAAAUUCGUAGAUAUUCGCAAGAACACCAGUGGCGAAGGCGGCUCACUGGCCCGAUACUGACGCUGAGGCACGAAAGCGUGGGGAGCAAACAGG
rnacentral:rRNA from 1 species